rnacentral:lncRNA from 1 species
UGUUUUCCAAGUAUUUGAACCAUUUACCUGCGUCCAGUGGUGUCUAAGUGUUCCUGUUAUUCCCAACAAUGGGAGUUCCCCUGCACAAGCUCUCUUACCUACCACCAUGUGAGAUGUGACUUUGCUCCUCCAUCGCCUUCCACCAUGACCAUGAGGCUUCCGCAGCCAUGUGAAACUGGGAUAUUCUUGGCCCUUUGCAUUUCUACCUACAUUUUAAAGUCAUCUUGUCCAUUUCUACCAAAAACUACUGAAAUGUCUGGAAUCGCACUCAAUCUAUAGAUCAAUUUGUGGAGAACGGAUAUGUUGCAACAAUGACUG